AUUUAUAAAUUUGAUUAUGAAAAUAAUUAAAAAUAUAUAUUACUUAAUAUAUAUAUAUAAUACAUGUCUUCAAAUAAGAUAUUUACGUUAUCUAAUUUCACGAAUGUUGACUAUAUUUAACAUCUACAAAUAAGACUUUAGUUUAUAUUCACAAGUUAAAGAUCACAAAUCAGUAUACUAAAAAUAGAAUAAAACUAAAAAUCACAUGUUUAAUAUAUUAUUUUUAUCUAAUUUUUGAAUUCUCAAAC
rnacentral:lncRNA from 1 species